CUAAUACAUGCAAGUCGAGCGAACAGACAAGGAGCUUGCUCCUUUGACGUUAGCGGCGGACGGGUGAGUAACACGUGGGUAACCUACCUAUAAGACUGGGAUAACUUCGGGAAACCGGAGCUAAUACCGGAUAAUAUUUCGAACCGCAUGGUUCGAUAGUGAAAGAUGGUUUUGCUAUCACUUAUAGAUGGACCCGCGCCGUAUUAGCUAGUUGGUAAGGUAACGGCUUACCAAGGCGACGAUACGUAGCCGACCUGAGAGGGUGAUCGGCCACACUGGAACUGAGACACGGUCCAGACUCCUACGGGAGGCAGCAGUAGGGAAUCUUCCGCAAUGGGCGAAAGCCUGACGGAGCAACGCCGCGUGAGUGAUGAAGGUCUUCGGAUCGUAAAACUCUGUUAUUAGGGAAGAACAUACGUGUAAGUAACUAUGCCGUCUUGACGGUACCUAAUCAGAAAGCCACGGCUAACUACGUGCCAGCAGCCGCGGUAAUACGUAGGUGGCAAGCGUUAUCCGGAAUUAUUGGGCGUAAAGCGCGCGUAGGCGGUUUUUUAAGUCUGAUGUGAAAGCCCACGGCUCAACCGUGGAGGGUCAUUGGAAACUGGAAAACUUGAGUGCAGAAGAGGAAAGUGGAAUUCCAUGUGUAGCGGUGAAAUGCGCAGAGAUAUGGAGGAACACCAGUGGCGAAGGCGACUUUCUGGUCUGUAACUGACGCUGAUGUGCGAAAGCGUGGGGAUCAAACAGGAUUAGAUACCCUGGUAGUCCACGCCGUAAACGAUGAGUGCUAAGUGUUAGGGGGUUUCCGCCCCUUAGUGCUGCAGCUAACGCAUUAAGCACUCCGCCUGGGGAGUACGACCGCAAGGUUGAAACUCAAAGGAAUUGACGGGGACCCGCACAAGCGGUGGAGCAUGUGGUUUAAUUCGAAGCAACGCGAAGAACCUUACCAAAUCUUGACAUCCUUUGACAACUCUAGAGAUAGAGCCUUCCCCUUCGGGGGACAAAGUGACAGGUGGUGCAUGGUUGUCGUCAGCUCGUGUCGUGAGAUGUUGGGUUAAGUCCCGCAACGAGCGCAACCCUUAAGCUUAGUUGCCAUCAUUAAGUUGGGCACUCUAAGUUGACUGCCGGUGACAAACCGGAGGAAGGUGGGGAUGACGUCAAAUCAUCAUGCCCCUUAUGAUUUGGGCUACACACGUGCUACAAUGGACAAUACAAAGGGCAGCGAAACCGCGAGGUCAAGCAAAUCCCAUAAAGUUGUUCUCAGUUCGGAUUGUAGUCUGCAACUCGACUACAUGAAGCUGGAAUCGCUAGUAAUCGUAGAUCAGCAUGCUACGGUGAAUACGUUCCCGGGUCUUGUACACACCGCCCGUCACACCACGAGAGUUUGUAACACCCGAAGCCGGUGGAGUAACCAUUUGGAGCUAG
rnacentral:rRNA from 1 species